UAAAAGCCUAGGAAGUGCAACAAUAAUUCAUUGCGCCCAAACCACCGGACCAAAAUGCUUAAGCUCAAUUAUUAUUACUAACGUGUAGGCCUCAUAUAAACUGAUCGGAAUCAGUAUUCCAUCCGAUAUGGGAUUAUUGGGGACGUUACAAAUAUAUGUGGUAGGACUUUUUGUGCUCUCUUAAGCUAUUUUCAAUGAUAAAAUUUUUGAAUCAACGAUCAGUUUUGUUAGAUUUGAUCUAGUAUAUUUGAAAUAUCUAAUUAGUGAUUAAAGAAAUUCAAAAUCAACGUCUAAAA
rnacentral:lncRNA from 1 species